AACGAACGCUGGCGGCAUGCCUAACACAUGCGAGUCGAACGAGACCUUCGGGUCUAGUGGCGCACGGGUGCGUAACGCGUGGGAACCUGCCCUUAGGUUCGGAAUAACUCCCCGAAAGGGGUGCUAAUACCGGAUAAUGUCUUCGGACCAAAGAUUUAUCGCCUUUGGAUGGGCCCGCGUUGGAUUAGCUAGUUGGUAGGGUAAAAGCCUACCAAGGCGACGAUCCAUAGCUGGUCUGAGAGGAUGAUCAGCCACACUGGGACUGAGACACGGCCCAGACUCCUACGGGAGGCAGCAGUGGGGAAUAUUGGACAAGGGGCGAAAGCCUGAUCCAGCAAUGCCGCGUGAGUGAUGAAGGCCUUAGGGUUGUAAAGCUCCUUUACCCGGGAUGAUAAUGACAGUACCGGGAGAAUAAGCUCCGGCUAACUCCGUG
rnacentral:rRNA from 1 species